CUUUACUGCAAGCUCGUAUUGGUCACGAGCAUGAAUUGCGUAGGAUAGGUGGGAGGCUUUGAAGUCUGGGUUUCGGCCCGGAUGGAGCCAAUGGUGAAAUACCACCCUGUUCACGUUUGUGGCCUAACCCCGAUUCCCAUCAUCUGGGCGGGGGACCGUGCGUGCCGGGCAGUUUGACUGGGGCGGUCUCCUCCAAAAAGGUAACGGAGGAGUGCAAAGGUCGGCUCAGCGCGGAUGGAAACCGCGUGACGAGUGCAAGAGCAUAAGCCGGCUUUACUGCGAGUCCGACGGGACGAGCAGUCUCGAAAGAGGGCUCUAGUGAUCCUACGAUCCCGUGUGGAAGGGUCGUAGCUCAUCGGAUAAAAGGUA
rnacentral:rRNA from 1 species